GACGAACGCUGGCGGCGUGCUUAACACAUGCCAGUCGAACGGAAAGGCCCUGCUUUUGUGGGGUGCUCGAGUGGCGAACGGGUGAGUAACACGUGAGUAACCUGCCCUUGACUUUGGGGUAACUUCAGGAAACUGGGGCUAAUACCGGAUAGGAGCUCCUGCUGCAUGGUGGGGGUUGGAAAGUUUCGGCGGUUGGGGAUGGACUCGCGGCUUAUCAGCUUGUUGGUGGGGUAGUGGCUUACCAAGGCUUUGACGGGUAGUCGGCCUGAGAGGGUGACCGGCCACAUUGGGACUGAGAUACGGCCCAGACUCCUACGGGAGGCAGCAGUGGGGAAUAUUGCACAAUGGGCGGAAGCCUGAUGCAGCAACGCCGCGUGCGGGAUGACGGCCUUCGGGUUGUAAACCGCUUUCGCCUGUGACGAAGCGUGAGUGACGGUAAUGGGUAAAGAAGCACCGGCUAACUACGUG
rnacentral:rRNA from 1 species